rnacentral:lncRNA from 1 species
GUUGAGACACAAUGUGGACCAGUCAUCCUUGAUUGACAGUUUAAUCCAAAAUUGUCCUUGAGCAUCGAGUGUCAAAAGGAUGAAUUAUACGAUAACUAUAUCUAUAUGGGUUCUAGAUUGUUGCUGGAUAUACAUUCGGCCUAUCCGUACAUCGAAAAUCGUUGCUAGAUGGUAACAUCGUUUAGUACAAAAAUUAUUCUUAUACUACCGGUUUAGGUUUGAACCUAUGGGAUCACA